UACGUAGGUGGCAAGCGUUGUCCGGAUUUAUUGGGCGUAAAGCGAGCGCAGGCGGUUUCUUAAGUCUGAUGUGAAAGCCCCCGGCUCAACCGGGGAGGGUCAUUGGAAACUGGGAGACUUGAGUGCAGAAGAGGAGAGUGGAAUUCCAUGUGUAGCGGUGAAAUGCGUAGAUAUAUGGAGGAACACCAGUGGCGAAGGCGGCUCUCUGGUCUGUAACUGACGCUGGAGGCUCGAAAGCCGUGGGGAGCGAACAGG
rnacentral:rRNA from 1 species